CGAACGGGCACUUCGGUGCUAGUGGCGGACGGGUGAGUAACGCGUGGGAACAUACCCUUUGGUACGGAAUAGCCUCGGGAAACUGGGAGUAAUACCGUAUGUGCCCUUCGGGGGAAAGAUUUAUCGCCAAAGGAUUGGCCCGCGUUGGAUUAGGUAGUUGGUGGGGUAAUGGCCUACCAAGCCGACGAUCCAUAGCUGGUUUGAGAGGAUGAUCAGCCACACUGGGACUGAGACACGGCCCAG
rnacentral:rRNA from 1 species